UGGGUCGUAGCUAAAUUGGAAAAGCUCCGGCGCCAUAAGCCGGCGAUCCGAGUUCGAAUCUCGGCGGCCCAA
rnacentral:tRNA from 1 species